rnacentral:rRNA from 1 species
AGGAUAAACGCUGGCGGCGUGCCUAACACAUGCAAGUCGAACGUCCUACGCAAGUAGGGAGUGGCGGACGGGUGAGUAACACGUGGGCAAUCUACCUUUCGGUGAGGAAUACCGGCGAGAAAUCGCCGACAAUACCGCAUACGCUUCGCAAGAAGCAAAGUCGCAAGACGCCGGAGGAGGAGCCUGCGCCCGAUUAGCUCGUUGGUGGAGUAAUGGUCUACCAAGGCGACGAUCGGUAGCUGGUCUGAGAGGACGAUCAGCCACACUGGAACUGAGACACGGUCCAGACACCUACGGGUGGCAGCAGUCGAGAAUUUUUUCACAAUGGACGAAAGUCUGAUGGAGCGACGCCGCGUGGAGGAUGAAGGUUCUUGGAUUGUAAACUCCUGUCACUGCAGAACAAGGCUACACAUGUGAAUAGCGCGUGUAGUUGAUGGUAUGCGGAGAGGAAGGGACGGCUAACUCUGUGCCAGCAGCCGUA